UACGGAGGAGGCAAGCGUUAUCCGGAAUUAUUGGGCGUAAAGCGUCUGUAGGUGGCUUUUUAAGUCUGCCGUCAAAUCCCAGGGCUUAACCCCGGACAGGCGGUGGAAACUACCAAGCUGGAGUACGGUAGGGGCAGGGGGAAUUUCCGGUGGAGCGGUGAAAUGCGUAGAGAUCGGAAAGAACACCAACGGCGAAAGCACUCUGCUGGGCCGACACUGACACUGAGAGACGAAAGCUAGGGGAGCGAAUGGG
rnacentral:rRNA from 1 species